CUUAUGCAGGGCUUGAUCUCAGGACCCUGGGAUCAAGACCUGAGCUGAAAACAAGAGUUGGACACUCAACCAACCGAGCCACCCAGGCACCCGUCUUUUGACUUCUACGAUUGUUUUGCUGUCAGAGAUUCAUGUUCAAAGGCCAGGAGGUGAUAUUGUGAUUUAAAAUAAGAAAUAUACAUUUGAUCUUUGUCCCAUUUCUAGCACAAAGCUCUUAAAGCCCUUGGAAUUCCCUAGGUGAUAAAAGCCACAAAGGUGUCUUUUGUUAUGCUAACAAAGUGACCUUUGGACUGCACAAAAGGCUGGGUGCUGGUUGCCAGGAGACCCAACCUAGUGAUUAGAGGGCUGGAACUUUCAGUCCUUCUGGAGAGUGGGGAGAGAGUCUGUAGGUUGAUUCAAUCACCAAUGGCCAGUGAUUGAAUCAGUCAUGCCUAUGUAACGAAGCCUCCCUAAGACCCUAAAAGGACUGGGUUCAGAGAGCUUCCAGAGUACCAAUAUAUGCAUUCUGGAUAUGAAUCCUUUGAAGAAUAUCUAUCUAUCCAUCCAUCCAUCCAUCCAUCCAUCCAUCCAUCUGUCCAAUAUCUCUGUAUUUGAGGGAUAAAAUAUUCAGUUUGGGGAAUCACAUAAAGAUCACUGGGGUAAGUCCCCCGUCCAUUAGGCACAGAAUAAGCAGCUGGCCCAUUGCACGUUAAAGAACCAGAACCUCUGGUCUCUUUUGACUCCAUCAACUGUACUGUAUUAUGAUCUAUGGAAAACAAAGUACUUGCAUUUAUCAUAUUUGGUUUGAGGGGAUCUGGCUUUUUGCCCUUGUUGUGAGUUGUCCAAAGCUGGAUGUUUCCUAAGCUGCUUUAAAAGUGGUUGGUGUUAUGUAAGUUGAGAUUUUUGAAUCCUUUAAGGCAUUUUUGUAGAAAUGAGCCAUUCCUAGACAUCAUGUUUAUAUCUCAAGUGGUGGCACUAUUUUUAAAAAUAAAAGGCUUCAAAACCUUCAGCCACAUUUUUCAGCCAUUACACAAUGUGUUCCUCAAGCAUAUGCAAAACAAUGACAGAGGGAAAUCAUUCAGCUAAGAGGGGGGAAAACAGCAGCUCGAUUUAAAAGUUUGUUAACAAAUAUUGUGAUUUGUUAUCUAACAGUUGGCUUCAUCUGGCAUUUGGAGACUUUCUCAAAUGCAAGAGUGUGUGGUGUAUUAAGAUUUAUUUGUGUAUUAAGCAAACAUCUUUGGUUGAAAUGUGGCUGGCAUAUUUAACUGAAUCAAAAAUGAGGAGGCGACACAUCCUGGAGAUUGAUAUUAUUUUGGGAAAUAUUUAGAAACAUAGAAAACAUUUUGUUGAUUCUCCAGAAUUUUCUGUGCCUCUUCCUGUCUUUAAUUUUUUAAAAUGAGGAACAUUUGAAAUAAUUACUCAGAUAUCUUUCUUUUUUUCUUAUGAUUCAGCACGGACCAUACUUGUAAUAUUUUCAUACACUGUCUAAUCCUGUUGAGGCUGACACCUCAUUGGGCCAGGGUUAACAUCUUUGUCCUCCCAUUAUAUUUGGAUGAGUUAAUUUGUCUCUGAACAUGUUUUUUUCCACAUGCAUCAUUUGUUCCUUUCUCCUAUCAAGCAUACACUUCUGGAUUCUUAUCUUAGAAGGAUGAGUUGCUGAAUGCAUAGUUUGCAAUGGGAUAAAUGUAGGAUAUUUGUGAAGUAGAACUCAACACUUUGUGAUUGCAGGGUAAAAUUUUAAGCAUCUGCAGGAUUUAAGAUUAGUAGAGUUUCUGCAAAUAAUGAAGGAACUCAGAUAUAGUGAGAACUGUUGUCGACUUUUCAUUACUUUCUAAUUAUUUACAUAAACGUGCAUUUGUACACUUUUGUUAAGAGAUUUCUCCACUUCUCUCUUCAUUUGUGACUGGAGGUAAAGAAACUUAACUGAUACUAUGUUAUGGCAUUAAUAAAACAAAUACUUAAAGGGAUUCAUUGGCUUUUGGGAGAGACAUAAUCUUUACUCUUUAGAAAUCAUGGAGAAUUAAGGGUUACAUUCGGGUUAGGAGUUAGAGUCCCAGCCCCCUUGAUUUGGAGGUCAAGUGUAAUAGAAGAUGAAUGUGUAUCAGAGACUUUUCCUCUGAAACAAACAGGAAGCUUUAAUGUUAGUAUUAUUCCAGAACUGAAAAGAGAACUUGGAAGGGUCUGGAUGAGUGUAUCUCCACAGCCCUUUGGGGAAGAGACUCUUUUUUAACUGGUUGCAUGAGUCGGACUAUUUCUGUAGACUCCUUCCCAGUUCUUACUCACCGGGCAGCUUGAUGUUCAUUUGAUUUCCUGAAUAGACUUCUCUACUGAGAAGAGAAUGUGUUGAACAGCCAACAUGAAUAUCAGUCUGCUUGGCAGUCAGAGCCUCAUAAAUUAUUCUGUUGGUUCUUUGACACAAAUCAGUCUCACAUGAGUUUGAGUUGCAUAAGCUGGAUUAUUUUUCUUUGUGCCUGAUAACCACUGGCAAAGCUGAUCAGUAAAUAUCAGCUCAGUAUAUACAUCUUUAACCAAGAAGACAAAACUCUGGGUAAAGUUGGAUAAUUGAAAUAUAUUUCCUAAGUACCCACCCAUCUACCUCACCCCAAUUAUUAAAGUAACAUGGGCUCAUUGUGUAAACAGUUGUGGAAAGCUAUUGAAUAAACAAUUUUAGCUCAUUGUAUAAACCAUUGUAGACAAUCAUUAUAGACCUUGCAGAACAUUAUAGACAGGUUUAGAUAUCUUCCUUCUUGUUUUUUUUUUUCUAAGCAUAAGAUACAUGGUUAAAAUUAUAUAAAUAUAGCUUACACUUAUUGCACACAUGAUAUACUAGGCCGUGUUGAAGUACUUUAUAUGUAUUUAUUCAUUUUAAUCCUUAAAAUAUCGUGAGGGGGGUAACAUUAUUCAUCCAUUUGGUAGGCAAGAAUACUGAGCACUGAAAUUUUAAAUAACCUGUUCAAUGUCACAGAGUAAGUAGUAGGGCUGAGAUUUAAACUGAGGUGGUUUGACUUUAUAACCAAAUUCUUAACCAUCAUUGCACUGUUACGCUUUCUUUUAUACCCUGUGGCCUGCUGCGUUCAAUGGACUCCUUAUAUAAUCGUAAAGCUUUGAAAGCCUUCUUGACCGUCAACCAACUGCUCAUGUCCACAAAACCCUCAACUUGACUUUGCCCAGAAAAGACUCAAAGAGAAAGCAAAAACCACCUGCCUUCAAAGUUCUUCUGAGUAUGUGGAAUGUAGCAGCCGAACUACCAGUCUCUGUCCUUGUUAUGCUGUGCCAACAUAUGGAAGCUUACACAGUUGGCAGUCAGAAUGUUGGACGAAUAUUCAGGCAGCUACUUUUCCAAAUCUACACGGCUCUCCCAAGCUAUCAUCAUGUAGCUCCAGCAGCUUCUUCAAAGGAUCCUGACUUCAUACCUUAUGAGCCACUGUCAGUUCAUAGACUUUCAUAUUUCCUUUCUGCCUUUGUAAUUAAACCUCAAUACUUUGGCCUAAGAUCCCUUUUCAUUGAAGUCCAAAAAUUCAUCUCAAUGGAGGAGGGAGUAUCUUCGGUAUGUGAAUUCUUUUUCUGAUAAGGACAGCGUAUAACCACCACCACCACAACAAAACCUAUGCUGAAGAAAAUGGAUUCACAGUGUAGCUUGAGAAAUUUAAGCUUGAUAGGAGAAAUUCUCUCCUCCAGCCAAUGUGAAAUGCUGAAACAAGUUUUAGGGAAAAGUGAUAGGCUCUUUUCCUUGGCAAAGAUCAUAUCACUUUAAAAUCUAUUAAAGGGGCG